GCGGAAAAUGCAAUUUGCAAGCAUGUUUUCAAUUAAUCAAGGAACGGAAAGUUAGAGUUUUCGAAGACGAUUAGAUACCGUCCGUAGUUCUAACUAUAAAACUAUGCCAACUGGGCAUCUGGCGGUAGCACAUUAGGGCAUCGGCAGGCACCCCGCGGGAAACCAAAGUUAUAGGGUUCCGGGGGGGAGUAUGGUUGCAAAAUCGAAACUUAAAGGAAUUGACGGAGGGGCACACCAGAAGUGGAGCGUGCGGCUCAAUUUGACUCAACGCACGAAAACUUACUCGGUCCGGGGCGCCGUGAGGAUUGACACCCCCCAACGCUCUUUCUUGAUUUGGUGGGUGGUGGUGCAUGGCCGUUCGUAGUUGGUGGAGUGAUUUGUCUGGUUUAUUCCGAUAACGAACGAGACUCUAGCCUAUUAAUUAGUGUGG
rnacentral:rRNA from 1 species